rnacentral:rRNA from 1 species
CUCCGUGCCAGCUAGCCGCGGUAAUACGGAGGGUGCGAGCGUUAAUCGGAAUUACUGGGCGUAAAGCGCAUGCAGGUGGUUGUUAAGUCAGAUGUGAAAGUCCCGGGGCUCAACCUCGGAAUUGCAUUUUGAAACUGGCAGACUAGAGUACUGUAGAGGGGGUAGAAUUUCAGGUGUAGCGGUGAAAUGCGUAGAGAUCUGAAGGAAUACCGGUGGCGAAGGCGGCCCCCUGGACAGAUACUGACACUCAGACUGCGAAAGCGUGGGGAGCCAAACAGGAUUAGAUACCCCUGGUAG